UCGGUGGAAGAUUUCUGCAUCACAUUCAUAGGAGUUUGAUAAAGGAUGUCAAAUACGUUCUGGUCUGGGGCACAAGUGCAAGGCACUACCCUCAACAUUGUGGCCUUAGCCAAGCUCUGCAGGAUGAAGAUGUUGUUCAGAUUGUCAAGAAAAAGGAAAAAGACGAAGGAGGGAGAGGCCGCUUCAAAUCACAUUCGACAGCCCCUGCACGGAUCUCUGAUAGAGAGAAAAAGGCUCCAUUGAAGACCUAACAUGAGAAAAGCUGUCAGCAUGAAGUAUUAAGGGUUACCUUUUUUUUCUGUUGUAUUUUAAGCAAUAUAAUCUAUUUCCAUUUAAGUAGCUGUAUUUCAAUGUACUUGGAUACAAAUUUUUGUCUUUUACACUACAAAUCCAGUUCUGUGAAAGAAAAUUUGACUAUCUUCAGACAAGAAGGCAGAGGCUGUAAGCUUCGAAUGGGAUUUGUCUUGUAUUCUGUUAUUGUGUUAUAAAGACUAGGGAAAUCUCUGCAAGAACUAGUGUCUUGUUGCUGGGAGGCUUAUUUAUUUAAACAACUAACAAGUAAUUACGCUAGAUGAUAUUGGAUC